rnacentral:rRNA from 1 species
GUGGAUUAGAUACCCGGGUAGUCCACGCCCUAAACGAUGAUUACUCGACAUUAGCGAUAUUACUGUUAGUGUCUAAGCGAAAGCAUUAAGUAAUCCACCUGGGAAGUACGACCGCAAGGUUGAAACUCAAAGGAAUUGGCGGGGGUCCGCACAAGUGGUGGAGCAUGUGGUUUAAUUCGAUGAUACGCGAGGAACCUUACCUGGGCUAGAAUGCAUUUUGACCGCAGGUGAAAGCCUGUUUUGUAGCAAUACACAAUUUGUAAGGUGCUGCACGGCCGUCGUCAACU